rnacentral:rRNA from 1 species
GGUUUAUUCGAAGCAACGCGAAGAACCUUACCAGGUCUUGACAUCCUCUGACAAUCCUAGAGAUAGGACGUCCCCUUCGGGGGCAGAGUGACAGGUGGUGCAUGGUUGUCGUCAGCUCGUGUCGUGAGAUGUUGGGUUAAGUCCCGCAACGAGCGCAACCCUUGAUCUUAGUUGCCAGCAUUCAGUUGGGCACUCUAAGGUGACUGCCGGUGACAAACCGGAGGAAGGUGGGGAUGACGUCAAAUCAUCAUGCCCCUUAUGACCUGGGCUACACACGUGCUACAAUGGACAGAACAAAGGGCAGCGAAACCGCGAGGUUAAGCCAAUCCCACAAAUCUGUUCUCAGUUCGGAUCGCAGUCUGCAACUCGACUGCGUGAAGCUGGAAUCGCUAGUAAUCGCGGAUCAGCAUGCCGCGGUGAAUACGUUCCCGGGCCUUGUACACACCGCCCGUCACACCACGAGAGUUUGUAACACCCGAAGUCGGUGAGGUAACCUUUUAGGAGCCAGCCGCCGAAGGUGGGACAGAUGAUUGGGGUGAAGUCGUAACAAGGUAGCCGUAUCGGAAGGUGCGGUGG